GUGAGGAAUAUUGGUCAAUGGGCGGGAGCCUGAACCAGCCAAGUCGCGUGAAGGAAGAAGGAUCUAUGGUUCGUAAACUUCUUUUGCAGGGGAAUAAAGUGCAGGACGUGUCCUGUUUUGUAUGUACCCUGAGAAUAAGGAUCGGCUAACUCCGUGCCAGCAGCCGCGGUAAUACGGAGGAUCCGAGCGUUAUCCGGAUUUAUUGGGUUUAAAGGGUGCGUAGGUGGUUUGAUAAGUCAGCGGUGAAAGUUUGCAGCUUAACUGUAAAAAUGCCGUUGAAACUGUCGGACUUGAGUGUGAAUGAGGUAGGAGGAAUGCGUGGUGUAGCGGUGAAAUGCAUAGAUAGCACGAAGAACUCCGAUUGCGAAGGCAGCUUACUAAGCUACAACUGACACUGAAGCACGAAAGCGUGGGGAUCAAACAGGAUUAGAAACCCGUGUAGUCC
rnacentral:rRNA from 1 species